rnacentral:tRNA from 1 species
AAAAAAUUAGUUUAAAUUUAUAACCUAAGUUUGUCAAACUUAAAUUAUCAAUAUCUGAUAUUUUUUA